rnacentral:rRNA from 1 species
AUUGAACGCUGGCGGCAGGCCUAACACAUGCCAGUCGAACGAGUAGCGGACGGGUGAGUAAUGUCUGGGAAACUGCCUGAUGGAGGGGGAUAACUACUGGAAAAGGUAGCUCAUCCCGCAUACCAUCAGAUGUGCCCCGAUGGGCUGAGCGUUGUGGUGGGGUAACGGCGCACCAAGGCGACGACCCCUAGCUGGUCUGAGAGGAUGACCAGCCACACUGGAACUGAUACACGGGCCAGACUCCGACGGGAGGCAGCAGUGGGGAAUAUUGCACAAGUGGCGCAAGCCUGAUGCAGACAUGCAGCGUGUAUGAAGAAGGCCUUCGGGUUGUAAAGUACUUUCAGCGGGGAGGCGUUACCCGCAGAAGAAGAACAGGCUAACUCCGUGCCAGCAGCCGCGGUAAUAC